AACCUCCGCAAUGUGAGAAAUCGCGACGGGGGGAUCCCAAGUGCCAUUCUUAACGGGAUGGCUUUUCAUUAGUGUAAAGAGCUUUUGGAAUAAGAGCUGGGCAAGACCGGUGCCAGCCGCCGCGGUAACACCGGCAGCUCUAGUGGUAACAAUUUUUAUUGGGCCUAAAGCGUCCGUAGCCGGUUUAAUAAGUCUCUGGUGAAAUCCUGUAGCUUAACUGUGGGAAUUGCUGGAGAUACUAUUAGACUUGAGAUCGGGAGAGGUUAGAGGUACUCCCAGGGUAGAGGUGAAAUUCUGUAAUCCUGGGAGGACCGCCUGUUGCGAAGGCGUCUAACUGGAACGAUUCUGACGGUGAGGGACGAAAGUUAGGGGCGCGAACCGGAUUAGAUACCCGGGUAGUCCUAACUGUAAACGAUGCGGACUUGGUGUUGGGGUGGCUUUGAGCUGCUCCAGUGCCGAAGGGAAGCUGUUAAGUCCGCCGCCUGGGAAGUACGGUCGCAAGACUGAAACUUAAAGGAAGU
rnacentral:rRNA from 1 species